AAAGUGUUUGGCAACAGCAUCUAUUACAUCUCCAUGGAAACAAAGACCUGGGAAUAUGCAAAGCAGGACUGUCUGAAGAGAGGGGCACAGCUAGUCAUCAUAAACAACCAAGAGGAACAGAAAUUCCUCAUUUCAUUAAACAUACGUACUUGGAUCGGUCUGUCUGACAUAGAGGCUGAGGGGACCUGGAGAUGGGUGGAUGGCACACCUCUGACUACAGAGUACUGGGGAGCAACACAGCCUGAUAAUGGUGGUGGUACUGUAGGAGAGGAGGACUGUGCUGAGUUUGUUAAUUGGUAUAGAGAUCCUGUAAAGAAAUGGAAUGAUAGUCCAUGUACCACGCGACUUAAUUGGAUUUGUGAAAAAAGUCAAUUAUAAACAAUACUUUUAAUCUACAGUACAAUCAGAAUGCAUUAAGGCUGUACACAAACAAUAAACAAUAUGACAUUU